rnacentral:rRNA from 1 species
UACAGAGGUCCCGAGCGUUGUUCGGAUUCACUGGGCGUAAAGGGUGCGUAGGUGGCGUGGUAAGUUUGAUGUGAAAGCUCAGGGCUUAACCCUGAAAUGGCAUUGAAUACUACUGUGCUGGAGGGUUUGGGAGGGGGGACUGGGAAUUCUUGGUGUAGCAGUGAAAUGCGUAGAUAUCAAGAGGAACACCAGUGGCGAAGGCGAGUCCCUGGACAACACCCGACACUGAGGCACGAAAGCUAGGGGAGCAAACAGG